GGAUGUGAGGGUGACCUGGCUGCAACAUCUGUCACCCCAUUGAUCACCAGCAUUGAUUCGGUUGAUCUGGCUGGCUGGGUGGGUGUCCCCUUCCUCCCUCGCCACUCCAUGUGCGUCCCUCCCAAAGCUGCACACUUGGUCAAAGAGGACGACCUUCUCUGAAUAGAGGAGGACUGGUCAUUCAUUGGUCAAGGGUAUAUGACUAGCUGCAUUCCUCUGCUAGGACCUCCAACCCAGCGCACAAGAAUUACUUUUUUUGUUUUUUGAGGUAGGGUCUUGCUGUAGCCUAGGCUGACCUGGAAUUAGUCUCAUCCUGGCCUUGAACUCACAGUGAUCUUCCUACCUCA
rnacentral:snRNA from 1 species